ensembl:lncRNA
ACGCUGUAUUGGUGCAGGUACUCCUGUCAAUAUUCUGUAGGGCGCUACUGACAGAGGAAGAGGUGUAAGAGUUCUGAGUCAACUGCUGGAAGAAGCUUUUGCCCACUGCUCCUUCAAGGUCUGCAGCUCAGUCACAUUGAGGAUACUGCCAAAAUUAAAACCUUCUCGGUAGGCAAAAUGGGAGGAUGGGUCCCAUUUGCAGCUCUUUUCCUGCAGGAUGGCUGUGCCACCUCCCACUCCUUCACCUUGCCUGCACUGUUGCCAGUUCCCAACAACCCAUCUACUUGUGAAGUCUGACUCAAAGGGCGAACUCUUGCUUUCCCCUUGCCCCCCUUCAGACAGUGGGCAGGAUGCUGAGAGCAGCCCAGAGCUGAGAUAAUAAAUACUGUUGUGAAAAUCCUCUUAAAAUAUCCCAAGGAUUAUUUAAUUACGCCAUCACACUGCAGGAAUGCAAUGUGCUGAGGCUCUCACACAGUGAUCCCACCAGAGCUGAGGAUGCACCAUAGAAGCAGGGACACAGGGCUGUGUUCAGCCCGAUGCCAUGGGAAGACCAAACCUCUGAGUCUGCCCACUGGAAACACCCUCCAGUUUCCCACUGGGUAGCUCAGUUGUCCCAGAACCCGGCGGCCCCAUGAGCUGUAUUUCCAGAAGCAGGGCAAGCAGUGAUAUUUUACCAUCUAAUCCCAUAUAACUGUUGGCUCAACUUUUAUUCUGGCUUUCUUACACAGCGAGAAAUUCUGCGUAUCCUUUGAGCAGCUCAGGCAAUCACUCAUUGCUCACAGUGCUGAGUGCGGGGCUGUGGGCGCUCGGUAAGGAUUAUGACAUUUAGAAUGGAGUAAAUAGCAAGCACCUCCACUCCAGGCAGGGAUUAACUCCACACUCCUCUGCUCUAAAAAUAAAUAUUUUGACUCAAGGAGAACAAACUAAUGAACACUUCCAUGCUGGCAUUCCUACACCAGGGAAAUGCAGCCCACAUAUGGCCAUGACCAGAGAAGAAAGCCUACGAAAAGCAGUCUGAUCUGCUUAACAACUCAACAUAAAUGAAAGACGGGAGAAAGAGAGCCCAGUCACUUAGACCAGAUCAGAGUCAUAGAAUCACAGCAUCUUUAAGCUUGGAAGAGAUCACAAGGAUCAUCUAGUCCAACCAUCAACCCACCACGCUUGCUAAACAGAGAUGCAAAUCGAUGUGGAAAAACCAAAAGCUUAAUGAAAAUAAACUUAGGAGAUGGGGUAGAUUCUGAAGUGUUUGCACGGCGUAUUUUUAUGAAGAUAUUUCCUAACUUCAGCAGAAGCUGUGGGUUUGGCAGACGUGUUACGGGCAGCGCAGCACACACGCUCCCAUGGCGCUCCCUACAUUGGUCCCAUUGGUGCUUUAGAACCCGCAUCCAAUGGGAGAGAGAUGCUUUAGUGCCAAGGCAGAGAAUCAAGCACUAGGAUAAGAUGGAAAAUAGUAAUAAUAAUAAAAACACAUAUUGGAUCCUUCUUUCCUUCCUUGUCACCGCACCUGGGACGCUGACACUGCCGCACUGAGCCCCACGUCCAACUAACUGCAGACUGAUGCGACCUCGGAUAUUUAUGCAAACCAGGAGGCACGGCAGGAUCUCACAGCAGGAGGACAAAUUCAUUUCGUAAAAGGUAUUUAUAUAGUUCAAUAGGUGUGUGCACUGCUUUAGAGGUAUAAAACACGAGAUCCCUGCCCUAAGGGGCUUAUAAUCUAAUAACAUAUACUAGGUAAAUUAAAACAUACAUCACGGCCGCGCCGCAUGCCCGCCCCAGCCCAGGCGGAGGGCAGUUGAGCCAUAUGACAAGGCAGAACUCAAUUUUCAUUUCAGAUUUGUAGUUUGCCUUUAAACAGGCAGCGCUCCCUAACCCCCAAGCGAGGGAGAAAUUUAUCAGCAUUACAUCUGGGGGUAGGGAGGGCUCCGGCGCGGGAUCAUUUAUUAAUUGUUAUUUAUUAUCUGUUAAACAAGGACAGCGUGUGCAGCAAUAGCAUUCCUUUCUCUGGAUUAAUUGUCGCCGCGCGAUUCCAAGGUUUUAUAUUUUUAGCAGCCCUGUUCUGGUGUAACCCACUGAAAGGGGGGGAAACGGAACAGGCACUCACACAAUUAGUGUAAUGAGAGUAAUUAAUUUGAAAAUAAUACCCAGGGGGUGGGAGGGUUAAGGCUUUCUUUUUAAGGAAAUAAAAGUCG